rnacentral:lncRNA from 1 species
GUCAGGCUUGAAGCUGUAAAAUGAUAUAUGGAAAGCUCACUGCAAGGCAAGUUUGUGUGACUUUUGUCCACUAAACACUUAUAAAAGCUGUAAAACGUUAUGGAUUAUUUAUGCCUACAUGUCAGAAGCAAAGAAACUACAGAUUUUUUGUUUUAUUUAAUAGUACUGUGUAGUUAGUGCAGUUUACAAAAUGGUGGCUAAAAUGAAACUUAAUGAUUGAAAGUUGGGCACAAGGCUGAAGUUAGUUCACAUUGUUUUGUGAUGUUCAAGUUGAUGGUUUUAUUUUUUUAAAACAAUUUUUCUCUUCUACAUUUUUAGGUAAAAUCAAAAUAUCACAAAUGAUGGAUGAAUACAAAGAUCAACAAUUUUCAGAUGAAAAGAACUCCACAUUUGAUUGUGGAAUCGAAGAGAGGUCGAGAGUCAUUGUGGAACAAGAACUACAAGUUGAUGAUGAAGACCGGAGGCUCUCAGCUCACUCAACAAGUGAAACUGAAAACCAAACGUUGACUGCAGCUAUCCAAGAUUCUGAUGGCGAUUUGGAAGACGACUGUGAUAUUCAUGAUGGAGAGUUGCAACCCACAAGUUUAUCAAAUAAACUUGUCAAAAGAAGGAAAGCCCAAAAAAGACAUGCAGACAAUGAUGGUGACAGGGGAUUGCUGAACUUGUCUGUGGAAGAGAAACAUGGCAAAGGACAAAACUCUAUUACAACUCUCAAUGAGGACAGUGACGGAGAUGAGUAUGGAGAAAAGCCUUUUGGGAUUUCUUCCACAAGCCCGGUCCAAAGAAAGAAAAUGAAAACCAAGCAUGGAGUGGCUGCUGCUGAUCCUGCUCAAUGCGGUCAUUUGCAAAUUAAAGGGAAGACCCCAUGGAAUGAGCAGGAGAAGCUGGCAGUUAAGCAACACUUGGCUGUUUUUGCGGAAGGUGCCAGGAAAAAAGACUGUAUCCUAUGCAUUGAAAAAUCCUCUCCUGUUCUCCAAAAGAGAACCUGGAAAGAACAUGGAUUAUGUGUAAAAUGAAAUUAUAAAGAUUACAAACUCACUAAAACAUUAAGGCAUUUCUAAGUGUCUCGAAACUUACACAAAUGUUAAUGUUUAAAAAGCUGUAAGGCUUCUGUUUAUAUAAUAAAAAUGUGUUAAAAUGCAAUGAAAUCAAAUUAUUUAAAAAUAUAUUAACUUGUAAGUUUGACUUUAUCAAAGAACCACACAACUGAAGUUACCUUAUUGUGUUUUAGUAAAUUGACCACUUUCUCUAAAAAAAUAAAAGUGGGCUUCUUCUUGCUUAUAACAUUAAUUUAAUCCUCACAGUAUAUAUAUUUAAAAAAACAUAUCAGACAUGGUUGUUUUGCUCCAAAAUAUGAGAUCAACAGUUAUUAUUUCAUAACUUUAGGGGGGGGGGUCAGCUGAGCAAUUGGUCCUCAGUAUGCUGGUUAAAAACUUUUUUUGAAAAAUGGCAAUAUUGCAAUAUCUAAAGGAGUGUUUAGGUUGGUUUUUACACCCAGUGUCCAGAAAUCAUCUUUUUGUGUCUCUAAGUACAUCACAAAUGGUGGGCCUCAGUUUGUGAGUAAUUUUACUUGGUCCUCAGUAUGUAGUAAGUACAAGAAUGCGUGUGUGUGUGUGUGUGUGUGUGUGUGUGUGUGUGUGUGUGUGUGUGUGUGUGUGUGUGUAAAACAGUGGUUCCAAGCUCUUCAUCUCCUGUUGGGAUAAUAGAAGUCUCCAUUCCAUUAGGGGUCCAGUGUUCUUGUGAUGUUUUCAUAAUCUGCUUCACUUUCAUCUUCCUCUUGAUAAGGAUUCUGCUGUUUGGUGUUUCUCUGCAGCAUAAUAAGAAAACCAUCAUUUCCAUACACCUGAAAAAAAAAACGUAGAAAAGGAAGUAAUUUAAAGGACGUUCAUUAUUAUAGUUUAAACAUCAAGUUAUGUAACUAUAUUUCCCUGAAGAAGAGGAACGAGGUACAACACAGUGGGAUAUCAUGCCCCUGCGUGGUCUAACUGAACACACCUUCAGUCACAUGAUGUAUUAUGUAACGUCACGUAGGGGAAAGGCCACGCCUACUCACACGUGAAGUCGUGUUUGAAGACCGCUCUUCACUGAGCUCAGCGGGGCUACAAAGGUCUUGUACCUUGUUCCUCUUCUUCGCUGAACAGUGAUUAUACGCAUAACUGAACGUUGCUCGGUACAAUACAUGUAGUUGCCAGAAAAAGUAUGUGAACCCCUUUGAAUUACAUGGAUUUCUACACUAAUUUGGUUAUUAAAUUUGAUCUAAUCUUCAUCACAGACAGCCACAGUCUGCCUAAACUAAUAUCACACAAAUAAUUAUAUGUUUCCAUGUUUUUACUGAACACCAUGUAAACAUUCACAGUGCAGAUGAACCCUGAGUAGUAACAAUCGUCCUAAUAAAAGAUUCAUCAGUGCUUUGUAGUUAAAGAAAUUAUAAUCAGGGUCUAUGUUACUGCCAUACUCUAAUAACCUAACAUCUGUUUGUAUUUUUGGCGUAACGUGUAUGCUGUCAGACAUCUGGAUAGGUUGUAUUAUACAUUCUGGCCAUGGGGCGAUCGGGCCUGUGUGGAAUUUCAUUAACCCUGUAAAGGGUCAUUUUAGCACAUACUGGCUCAAGAAAAUGAUUUUAAAAUAUAAAAAAGUAGCAAAAGACAUAUUUAAAGGGGCAUUAUGGAAGUUUGACAGCCAAAACAUGUUUAGAAAUAAUACAUUUCUUCUUCAUACAUUCUCCUGCAAUGCCCUGGUCCUGUAGAAUGAGCCCUGGCAUUUUUACUGUGAUUGCCUGUUUUUCUGUAAAAUCACAGAAAAAGAGAG